UACAGAGGGGCAAGCGUUAUUCGGAAUUAUUGGGCGUAAAGGGCGCGUAGGCGGCUUGUCGCGUCGGGAGUGAAAACGCCGUGCUUAACACGGCGCUUGCUUUCGAUACGGGCAGACUAGAGGUAUUCAGGGGAGAACGGAAUUCCUGGUGUAGCGGUGAAAUGCGCAGAUAUCAGGAGGAACACCGGUGGCGAAGGCGGUUCUCUGGGAAUGACCUGACGCUGAGGAGCGAAAGUGUGGGAGCGAACAGG
rnacentral:rRNA from 1 species